rnacentral:rRNA from 1 species
GAAAAGAAAGCAAAAGCGAUUUCCCAAGUAACGGCGAGUGAACAGGAAUAAGCCUAGCGCUAAGGCUCAAUAGGAUGGUUGGCAACAAUCGUCGUUUCGAAAAGCUAUUGAGCGGUGCAGCGUUACAAACCAUGAUGUUUAGUGAUAUCAUUGGUAGUAAUGGGAAACCAUUGCUACUCCUAGCCUAGCAUGCAAGUUCCAUUGACUUGGACUAAUUGCAAAUGACUAUACACUUGGGGCAACUCGAGUGUUUGGUUGAGCCAAAGUGGGUGAAAGCCCUAUACCGUGCAGGCAUUGGUAUUACGAAUUGUGGAUGGAGCCGCAAGGUUUCAAAUUUGUUAGAGUCGAGUUGCUUGAGAGUGCAACUUAAAGUGCGAGGUAAACUACUCGUAAGGCUAUGCAAUACGGCUACGACACCGAUAGCAAACAAGUACCGUGAGGGAAAGUUGAAAUAGAACUUUGCAGAGAGAGUUAACAGGGCGUGAAACCGUUAAUUGGCAAACGAAUCGGAGCCACGAAGUCGUUUCGCUGAUAAGUUGGGCCGAGUUCAGUUCAAGAGCACAAAACUCUUGGGCGUAUUCUCGUAGUCUAACCUAAAAAUCAUUGUAAGCGUACACUGCAACCAGUUAGACAAUUGGUGAUGGGCACAGUUAGGAGACGAUUUAUCGCCUUCUAACGCAGCAUUUGUUUACUCAGACUAGUAGUAGCGUUGUGCUAGCAAUAGUACUUGCGUUGCUGGGUUUGUUGUAAGUGAACUAUCGCCAAAUACUGACUGGCAAAAUGAAAAUCGCUUUUUAAGCGUUGAAUAAAAUGCAAUUGCUUAUAUAUAAAUCUACAUGUUUAACUAUGAGGUUUAAGCUCAGCAUUUUUAAAUUUGGACUUGCUUGCUACCAAUGGGGCAACUCUUGGUGCUUGUAUAGAUUCAUCUAAUUGGGUGUUGACUUGACUUUAUACGUUUAAAUGUGCUACGAUAGGAUUUAAAUAUAAAGUAAUUCGCAAUUAAU